rnacentral:rRNA from 1 species
GCCAGACUCCUACGGGAGGCAGCAGUGAGGAAUAUUGGUCAAUGGUCGGGAGACUGAACCAGCCAAGCCGCGUGAGGGAGGAAGGUACAGAGUAUCGUAAACCUCUUUUGUCAGGGAGCAAAGGCGUCCACGUGUGGACGAGAGGAGAGUACCUGAAGAAAAAGCAUCGGCUAACUCCGUGCCAGCAGCCGCGGUAAUACGGAGGAUGCGAGCGUUAUCCGGAUUUAUUGGGUUUAAAGGGUGCGUAGGCGGAGUGUCAAGUCAGCGGUAAAAUUUCGGGGCUCAACCCCGUCGUGCCGUUGAAACUGGCAGUCUCGAGUUGGAGAGAAGUAUGCGGAAUGCGCGGUGUAGCGGUGAAAUGCAUAGAUAUCGCGCAGAACUCCGAUUGCGAAGGCAGCAUGCCGGCUCCACACUGACGCUGAGGCACGAAAGCGUGGGUAUCGAACAGGAUUAGAUACCCGAGUAGA